GAUGAACGCUGGCGGCGUGCUUAACACAUGCAAGUCGAACGAAGCACUUUAUUUGAUUUCCUUCGGGAUUGAUUAUUUUGUGACUGAGUGGCGGACGGGUGAGUAACGCGUGGGUAACCUGCCUUGUACAGGGGGAUAACAGUUGGAAACGGCUGCUAAUACCGCAUAAGCGCACAGCAUCGCGUGAUGCAGUGUGAAAAACUCCGGUGGUAUAAGAUGGACCCGCGUUGGAUUAGCUAGUUGGUGAGGUAACGGCCCACCAAGGCGACGAUCCAUAGCCGACCUGAGAGGGUGACCGGCCACAUUGGGACUGAGACACGGCCCAAACUCCUACGGGAGGCAGCAGUGGGGAAUAUUGCACAAUGGGCGAAAGCCUGAUGCAGCGACGCCGCGUGAGCGAAGAAGUAUUUCGGUAUGUAAAGCUCUAUCAGCAGGGAAGAUAAUGACG
rnacentral:rRNA from 1 species